ACGUGUCUUCGGGAGCGUUUUCCUUUAUAUAAGAGUUUGUCUAGGCUUGUCCUUUGCUACAAAAAGGAUUUGGCAAUCUUGCUGCACCUUAUUUACUUUCAUUACUUGCUACUCGUUACAAAUUACCUUAUCACAAAACUAUCUGUUACCGAUAAUUUCAGUGCUUGCAGAGAAUACCUUACUGAAAACUGCUUAUCAUUUCCUUCUGCUCCUCGUUGGGUUCGACACUCUUACUUAUCGAAAAGGACUACGAUAGAUCCCCUACACUUGUGGGUCAUCAGUACAUUGAACUCACCAUGCGCCUCCAACAACUUUCAUGGAGCACAACAUCAAACUAUUGAAGAAAUCCAUUCACCCCAAGCACACCACCAAGGGGCAGGGCCCGUUAGGGUUGCGGCAUGUAGGGCAAACCAUACCUUUCAGAAAUAGACAAGGUAUCAAUUAAUAAACUCUCUAAAGCAAUUUAAGAAAAAAAAUACACAUAUAAAAAGAAACUAACUGGAAAACAAGUUGCAAUUCAGAAGAAGCACCUCACAAAAGCAAUUCAUGAGAAGCUACUUCCAUUGACAAUCAGACUGAAACAGACAAGUUGUACUAGCUUGCCUCAUAUACACCACUAGUUUCAUAGUGCCGCACAAAAAAACACUAGCUAAAAUGUCAAAUACUAUCAACUAAUCAUAACCAGACUAACUACACACCUAGCAAUUAACUAGACUAUAAACAAAGCACCAUAAAAAAGAUACUAGGCACACUACCUGCAACUAAAAUGUGGGGAACUAGCCACACAUUAAGAAGGAUUAAGAUAAAAAAAGAAGGCACUUUUUAUAGUAUACUCAAGAAAAUAGACAAUAAAUUUGACAUCAAAAGACCCAAGAACUCACGAUCCGAACAUCAAUCACACCAAACACCUAAACUACCGACAAAACUAAUCAAUCCAUAACCCAAACCUGCUUAAGCAUAAUCACUAAAAAUGGUACAGAUCCACGGCUCCACUAAAUCAACUAAACUAACAAAAAGCCACCACCAACAUCAACUUGAAACCGACACUAGAAAUAAUCAAUACGCAAUGCUAACCUUAAUGCAAAAAGGACACGCUCAAACUAGGAUAUCAGAUCAGAAAAGGAUAAAGCUCUCAAGGUUUAAAAAUAUUAAGAAGGAAUGGCCAUUUAGGAUUUACACAAAGAACACGGAUUAAAGAAAGUCUAUUACCAUGGACUUACACUAACUAAAAGGGCAUUAAGGUAGAAAAAAAGAAAGGCCUUUUAUAGAAUACUCAAUAAUAUACCUAAUAAAAUAGUAUAAGACCUAAAAACGGACUUAGUAAACAUCAAUCAAAUCAAAUAUCCUAGAAACUACCAAAGAAUCUAAUCCAAACCUAGCACAUGCAUGCUCAUACUUGUAAAUCAACUAAAAAACAACGAGUCAGCAACAAAAUGAACUUGAACUGGCACAGAUCUAAUCCACCAAUAAAACAUGAGGGAUGGGAACCAAUCUAUGACCCAAUAGGGCCUAAUAGAAGAAUCUACUCAAGAACGGGAAGAUUAGAUCAAAAGAGGAAGACUGACCAAACCCUAGCCAAAUCAUACUCAUUUUUACAUAGCAAAACACCUAACCAUACAUGACACAACACCACAAAAACCAAAUCAUGGAGAAGAGAACGAGCAUACACAUACCUGAACAGCAGUUUUGCUCGCUAAUGGAGCACAAGAACCCUAACCCAAAGCACC
rnacentral:lncRNA from 1 species